rnacentral:rRNA from 1 species
CCCUUAGAUGUUCUGGGCCGCACGCGCGCUACACUGACGCUGUCAGAGAGUGUCUCCUUCACCGAGAGGUGUGGGUAAUCUUUUAAACAUCGUCGUGCUGGGGAUAGAUCAUUGCAAUUUUUGAUCUUAAACGAGGAAUUCCUAGUAAGCGCGAGUCAUCAGCUCGCGCUGAUUACGUCCCUGCCCUUUGUACACACCGCCCGUCGCUACUACCGAUUGAAUGGUUUAGUGAGGCCUUCUGACUGGCGCCGCUACUCUGGCAACAGAGCGGCGGAUGCCGGGAAGUUGGUCAAACUUGAUCAUUUAGAGGAAGUAAAAGUCGUAACA